GACGGAGGAUGCAAGCGUUAUCCGGAAUGAUUGGACGUAAAGCGUCUGCAGGUGGCAGUUCAAGUCUGCUGUCAAAGACCGGGGCUUAACUUCGGAAAGGCAGUGGAAACUGAACAGCUAGAGUAUGGUAGGGGCAGAGGGAAUUCCUGGUGUAGCGGUGAAAUGCGUAGAGAUCAGGAAGAACAUCGGUGGCGAAGGCGCUCUGCUGGACCAUAACUGACACUCAGGGACGAAAGCUAGGGGAGCGAAUGGG
rnacentral:rRNA from 1 species